UCACUACCAACUAGGGAUGGGCGUGAGGAAUCGAUUACUCGAGUACUCCUCGUUACAAAUGAACUCGGUUGGUGGACAGGCAAACUCGAGUUUGCAUAUACACACACAAACAAAGUUUUCUGAAGCAAAUGUAUCAAUUUUCUGUCGGCGCCACUAACGCAUGUGUGGGCACAAAGAAAAUUAAAUGCAUCCAUUUCCAUGGCGCGUUCCGUGCCGUGUGCAGGCACGCCAGAAUUCAAAAAGUUAAGAGAUGGCGGUUAAAGCAAACCGCAGCGAAGAAUUGAAAUACUUUAAAGAAAUAGGAGAUCAUAAGGUGAAAUGUAAAAUAUGCCAAGCGAAAUCGAGCUACCAGAAAGUACUAUGCGGCAACAUAUGCUCCUGAAACACAACGGUGAGUUCGGGAAAGCAGACCCGCAGCAACGGUGAAAGUGAAAGUGUGUCGGCUAUUUUCACCGCCGCAAGACGCAGCUGUAAUCCCGGGCGUGUAGAGAAGAUCACAACGCUGAGUAUUCCCAUAGUCCAUUUGCUGCCGUUUUAUUUGCAGCUUUAAGCAGUUAUUUGCAAUGGUUAGGCUACUUGUUUCGUUUUUUUUAAACUGUUACAGGCCUUGGUUCGACGUGAUUUAAAUUGUGAGACGCAUAUUUAUUUUUGUAAGGAAAAUGUGUUUUGAACGUUUGCAAAAAUAAAUAAUGAAUACUCUGAUAA